rnacentral:tRNA from 1 species
GGGCAAUUAGUUUAAUGGUAGAAUAUCGACAGUUUCCAUGUAUUAGUGUUUCUUUAAAUUGUCUUGCUUUGUCGAAGGUACGGGUUCGAAUCCCGUAUUGCCCG